AGAGUUUGAUCAUGGCUCAGGAUCAACGCUGGCGGCGUGCCUAAUGCAUGCAAGUCGCACGCACGACCUUCGGGUCGCGAGUGGCGAACGGCUGAGGAACACGUACGAACCUGCCCCCCAGUGGGGAAUAACGACACGAAAGUGGCGCUAAUACCGCGUACGCUCGCAAGAGGAAAGCAGCAAUGCGCUGGGGGAGGGGCGUGCGGCCCAUCAGGUAGUUGGCGGGGUAAAGGCCCACCAAGCCUUUGACGGGUCGCUGGUCUGUGAGGACGAUCAGCCAGACUGGGACUGCGACACGGCCCAGACACCUACGGGUGGCAGCAGCAAGGAAUCUUCGGCAAUGGGCGCAAGCCCGACCGAGCAACGCCGCGUGCAGGAUGACGGCUUUCGGGUUGUAAACUGCUUUGAGGGGGGAUGAUUGUGACAGUACCCCCAAAACCAGCCCCGGCUAACUCUGUGCCAGCAGCCGCGGUAAGACAGAGGGGGCAAGCGUUGUCCGGAUUGACUGGGCGUACAGGGCGCGCAGGCGGCGCGUGACGUGGUGUGUGACAGCGCGGAGCUCAACUCCGCGUGGCCGCGCCAGACGCACGGGCUAGAGACCUAGAGAGGGCAGUGGAAUACCCGGUGGAGCGGUGAAAUGCGUAGAGAUCGGGUGGAACACCAGUGGCGAAGGCGGCUGCCUGGCUAGGAACUGACGCUGAGGCGCGAGAGCGUGGGGAGCAAACGGGAUUAGAUACCCCAGUAGUCC
rnacentral:rRNA from 1 species